UCUUAUGUACUCUCAAAGUAACUCAACUGUUUCCUCGACUUGUGAUGAUGAAGAAUUUCAGGCUCAAUUAAUUAUAGAUAUUUGAACUGGCAUUUGCCCUUUUCAAUUUAUUUUGUUGAUAUUUAUUUCCUAUUUAUGUUCUGCCUGCAAUUUUGAUCUUCAUUAUGUUAUCCUUUGUGUUUGAGGAAUUUGGCAUUUGUGUGAAACGUUGGAUAAAGAUCACACAAACACACUUCAUUGUUCAUCAGUAUUUGCUUUAAAAAUAUAAAUCAUAGAAAAGAGGAUUAUAAAAAUAAUGUUUUAUAAUAUGAUGUCUGAAAAAAGGGUAAGAUGUUUUGUUAAUAUGUGUUUCUCAAAUUAAGUGCUUAAUUUCUUUUAAAUAUUAGCAUUCCAACAAAUGUGUAAGCUCCUUAUGUUAUGGCAUUAUUAUCUUCUUUAUCUAGCAAAAUCAGAGACUAGAAUUAUUUAUUUUUGUCAGAUGUAUUUAUAUUGAUGACAUAAGAUGAAAUUUUUUCAUUGCAUCAUAUAAUGGCAUGUGUAGCGAAGCCUAUACAACACUGUGCUUGAAUUAUGUCUGUGAUAUCUGUUAAUAUUUUGGCAUUUUCAGUUGUACAUUUGUAAUCUGCCUUUUCGCUGGUGAAAGGUAUUAGCGAUCUAAGAAUAAGAUGUGACUGUUCAAAUAAAAUUCACUGAAAUAAUAAAUAUUAAAUACUUU
rnacentral:misc_RNA from 1 species